GGCCAGACUCCUACGGGAGGCAGCAGUGGGGAAUAUUGCACAAUGGGGGGAACCCUGAUGCAGCGACGCCGCGUGGGUGAAGGAGCACCUCGGUGUGUAAAGCCCUAUCGGCAGGGAAGGAACAGACGGUACCUGACUAAGAAGCCCCGGCUAACUACGUGCCAGCAGCCGCGGUAAUACGUAGGGGGCAAGCGUUAUCCGGAUUCACUGGGUGUAAAGGGAGCGUAGACGGCGACGCAAGUCUGGAGUGAAAGCCCGGGGCCCAACCCCGGGACUGCUCUGGAAACUGCGGCGCUGGAGUACGGGAGGGGCAGGCGGAAUUCCUGGUGUAGCGGUGAAAUGCGUAGAUAUCAGGAGGAACACCGGCGGCGAAGGCGGCCUGCUGGACUGCAACUGACGUUGAGGCCCGAAAGCGUGGGGAGCAAACAGGAUUAGAUACCCUCGUACGC
rnacentral:rRNA from 1 species